UGAGAGAGUGGGUGGGAGG
rnacentral:miRNA from 1 species